GCCCUUUUGAAAGGGAAACGAUUGAAGUCAGUCGUACUUGCGGACAAUCAGCCUUUCGGGUGCGAUUAUGUGGAGCGUGAGGAGCUAAACACCUUCAUGUCUGCGUAUUUGUAUUCUGGGGUGUACUUGGACGUGCGGUAGGUUAACAUCAAUUUCGGACGUCAUAAAAUGGCUGGAGGAAUGUAGCUUCGAUCUUGUAUUGAAGUGUUAUAGCCUUCGGUAGAUGUGAUGAUCGAGAUUGAGGAUUGCAACGGAUACCCUUCGGGGCUACCUGUCUGAUCUCUGAUCGUUGCUCUGGUGCCGAAAGCUUGCUUACGGUUAUCAACGUCGAUGGUCAAUAGGUUAGAACGGGUUAAAUUCGUUAAGGAUGUUGACGU
rnacentral:rRNA from 1 species